rnacentral:rRNA from 1 species
GAUGAACGCUGGCGGCGUGCCUAACACAUGCAAGUCGAACGCUCGCAAGAGAGUGGCGCACGGGUGAGUAACACGUAGCUAAUCUGCCCUCAAGACAAGGAUAACUGUAGGAAACUACUGCUAAUACUUGAUAAGCUUACGGACUGUAGAGGUCUAUAAGAAAAGAUUUAUCGCUUGAGGAUGAGGCUGCGCGCCAUCAGCUAGUUGGUGAGGUAAUGGCUCACCAAGGCGACGACGGCUAGGGGACCUGAGAGGGUGACCCCCCACACUGGGACUGAGACACGGCCCAGACUCCUACGGGAGGCAGCAGUGAGGAAUAUUGCACAAUGGGCGCAAGCCUGAUGCAGCGACGCCGCGUGGAUGAAGAAGGUUUUCGGACUGUAAAAUCCUUUUCUGUGUGACGAGAGUGGACGGUAGCACAGGAAUAAGUCUCGGCUAACUACGUGCCAGCAGCCGCGGUAAU